UGCAAGUCGAGCGGAUGAUAGGAGCUUGCUCCUGGAUUCAGCGGCGGACGGGUGAGUAAUGCCUAGGAAUCUGCCUGGUAGUGGGGGACAACGUUUCGAAAGGAACGCUAAUACCGCAUACGUCCUACGGGAGAAAGCAGGGGACCUUAGGGCCUUGCGCUAUCAGAUGAGCCUAGGUCGGAUUAGCUAGUUGGUGAGGUAAUGGCUCACCAAGGCGACGAUCCGUAACUGGUCUGAGAGGAUGAUCAGUCACACUGGAACUGAGACACGGUCCAGACUCCUACGGGAGGCAGCAGUGGGGAAUAUUGGACAAUGGGCGAAAGCCUGAUCCAGCCAUGCCGCGUGUGUGAAGAAGGUCUUCGGAUUGUAAGGCACUUUAAGUUGGGAGGAAGGGUUGUAGAUUAAUACUCUGCAAUUUUGACGUUACCGACAGAAUAAGCACCGGCUAACUCUGUGCCAGCAGCCGCGGUAAUACAGAGGGUGCAAGCGUUAAUCGGAAUUACUGGGCGUAAAGCGCGCGUAGGUGGUUUGUUAAGUUGGAUGUGAAAUCCCCGGGCUCAACCUGGGAACUGCAUCCAAAACUGGCAAGCUAGAGUAUGGUAGAGGGUGGUGGAAUUUCCUGUGUAGCGGUGAAAUGCGUAGAUAUAGGAAGGAACACCAGUGGCGAAGGCGACCACCUGGACUGAUACUGACACUGAGGUGCGAAAGCGUGGGGAGCAAACAGGAUUAGAUACCCUGGUAGUCCACGCCGUAAACGAUGUCAACUAGCCGUUGGGAGCCUUGAGCUCUUAGUGGCGCAGCUAACGCAUUAAGUUGACCGCCUGGGGAGUACGGCCGCAAGGUUAAAACUCAAAUGAAUUGACGGGGGCCCGCACAAGCGGUGGAGCAUGUGGUUUAAUUCGAGGCAACGCGAAGAACCUUACCAGGCCCUUGACAUCCAAUGAACUUUCCAGAGAUGGAUUGGUGCCCUUCGGGAACAUUGAGACAGGUGCUGCAUGGCUGUCGUCAGCUCGGGUCGGGAGAUG
rnacentral:rRNA from 1 species